UAUUAUUUUUACUUCUAGCGAAUAAAUUAGUGAAUUCUGCUAAAAAUGAAUGUAAAAUGUGUUCUACUAAGCUAGCUUAAUUCACUAAAAUAAUUCUACCACUUUAAUAUGAAUUGAUAAUAUAUUCCUCCUCACCUUGUGAUGUAAUGUGGCCAAAAUUGUAGGUUUCACUUCGAAACUCUGUAAAAUAUCUAGGAAGCUAUAAAUCCCGGUCUUCCUGGUUCCUUAUUUUCAAACCGAUUUGAAAAAUAAGUUCAUACUUCCUAAGAUUACUUCCGAUAAAAUUUGGGGUGUAAAUCCUCUAACUAAGAGAAGUAGGACCUCCUAUCAUAUCACCAGUCAAAUUCCAUCUGAAGGAAGGAAAUGUGCCAAUGUCAGUCAAAUCUGACACUAGGAAAAAUAUAAUUACCAACUCAUGUUUUGAAAUCUGCAUUAAAGCUAGGUUCACCUAAUUGUUUACUAAAUUUUAGGGUACUUUGUGUACUAAUUUACUUCUGGUACUACUGUAACCUUUGACACAAUGACUUGACAAGACAAGGAUGUGACCUUAACCUAUGUUUACCAAUCAUGUAAACAUUGUCUGUAUACAUUUAUUUACUACAAUUAUUUUUUUUAGAUUCUUUAAACCAAAGAGGCUUCCUACCUCCAAAGGCUAUAAUAACCAGAACAGAUCUAACCGAACCAACAGAAAGCUUUUACUACCAAAGUAAUCGCUUUCUACAUACUGGCAACCAGAUAAACUACAUCCUCACCUGAAAAACUUUAUCAAGAUCUAUAAAAUAUAACAUUAUUAAGCUGUUAAUAUAUAAGCAAAUAAAAUCAUUUUUAACUUUA
rnacentral:lncRNA from 1 species